GAGCUCUUUCUGAGAUGAAGAGAACUCUCAAUGUCAAGAUUUCAACAAGAAGAGAAUGGAAUACACGAUACGGACAUCCAUAAAAAUUCUUCAGAGGGUGUUUUACUACUGAGCUGCAAAGGUAGGAAAAAUAAAUUUUUUUUGGUUAGAAAAUAUACUUCUUUCAUCUGCGUUUCAAUAAUUUAUUCCCCUUGUUAGAUAUACAUGGAAUUGAUGUUGCUUAUUCUAAGUGUAAAGUGUUAUUUCUACUUACUGCUCAAUUAGAAAAAUGUAGUGUUUAAUUGUCAGUUUGAAUUUUUCUUUCAUACUAUUACAGUUUAUAUUUUACUAUAGACAGAAUUUACUCUUUCUCCUAAAUUUUGAUAUUCUCCAUAAUUUCAUCGUGCCUUUAUUUCUAUACAUCAGGAAGGCAAUUCUGUGUGUGUGUGUAUAUAUAUAUAUAUAUAGUUAGAAGUUAGAAACUGAAACUCUUUUUUUGUCUGCCAUCAUUUCAUAUUUUUCUUGCUAUUUCAAACCUAUAAUUUUUAAAGAAAUGACUAAAGUAAUCAUUCAUAUAAUUUGCUGUCAGUAACUUAACAAUACAAAUGUUAACAUGGAGACAUUUAGUUCAGCAUUUGCUUUACUUAAUAGAGUGCAGAAAAUGUGGCCCUUUUCCCAGUUAGGGUAUAUGUGAAGAUAAAUUUAUAAUUUCUAGACUAGUAAAUACUUCUCUGAUAAUAACUUAAUUAUAGCUAUUUCAAACCAAAUUGUUUAAUUGUGGUGAAUCAUAUGCAAAUUGUUCACAUGUAGGUCAACACCCACGCCCACAUUCUAGCACCUCUUUCCUAAUUCAUGACAACUUUGCAGUGCCUAAAAGAGCUGAACAGUACAGAUUAGAGACAUAAGACAAAAAAAAA
rnacentral:lncRNA from 1 species